rnacentral:rRNA from 1 species
UUUUGAACGCGAAGAACCUUACCAGCUCUUGACAUCCCUCUGACCGGUCUAGAGAUAGGUCUUUCCUUCGGGACAGAGGAGACAGGUGGUGCAUGGUUGUCGUCAGCUCGUGUCGUGAGAUGUUGGGUUAAGUCCCGCAACGAGCGCAACCCUUGAUCUUAGUUGCCAGCACUUCGGGUGGGCACUCUAAGGUGACUGCCGGUGACAAACCGGAGGAAGGUGGGGAUGACGUCAAAUCAUCAUGCCCCUUAUGAGCUGGGCUACACACGUACUACAAUGGCCGGUACAACGGGAAGCGAAACCGCGAGGUGGAGCCAAUCCUAUCAAAGCCGGUCUCAGUUCGGAUUGCAGGCUGCGACUCGCCUGCAUGAAGUCGGAAUUGUUAGUAAUCGCGGAUCAGCAUGCCGCGGUGAAUACGUUCCCCGUCUUGUACACACGCAC